rnacentral:tRNA from 1 species
GUUCUUUAGCUCAGUGGUAGAGCCCUCAUCUAGCAAGUGUGAGGCACUAGGUUCGAUUCUCAGUACCACA